rnacentral:misc_RNA from 1 species
UAGUAUAAUAAUAUAUUAUGAUUUUUUACUGCUGCAAACGCGCUUGUCAUGCAAUUUUAACGUUGCAGUCGUAUUGUGCAAGGCGCGGUGAUAAAGAGUGCAACGUGACUGUCUAGUGCAUUUUUGGCGUGCAGUUAAAUAAAAAUAUAUAAUAUCCGUUUGGUUGUGCUGUGCAAUAAGAGUCGCUAUGAUAUGGGUAGGUACUACGUAGUACGUGAUACCUGCAUACCUACUUUAUACUUGGAAAAAAAAUACGAUAUACAAUCAACUAUUUAAGGAAACUUAUUCACUUGGAACAGUUGUGUAUCAAAAUGUGAUCAUUUUCGUUGUUUGAUAUUCAGAUGACUCGUCAAAAUCGUGAGAGAGUGACGCGAUUGUGACCUGUACUGGCACUUGGUAUAAAUCACUGCCAAAGAACCAAUAAGCGGUUACUCAGACUUUCUGAGGACUAUAAUAUGUUACAGGUCCAAAACUGCAUAAAUAUAUUAUGAUAUCACCGAACGUUUUCUAGUUAGUAUUCCAUCUAGUACUGAAAAUAAUAUAACCACUUAUUUAAUGUA